rnacentral:rRNA from 1 species
UACGUAGGGACCGAGCGUUGUCCGGAAUCAUUGGGCGUAAAGAGCGUGUAGGCGGCCUUUUAAGUCCUGCGUGAAAUCCUGCGGCUCAACCGCAGACGGUCGUGGGAAACUGGAAGGCUAGAGUUCGGUAGGGGAGUCCGGAAUUCCUGGUGUAGCGGUGAAAUGCGCAGAUAUCAGGAGGAACACCGGUGGCGAAGGCGGGACUCUGGGCCGAUACUGACGCUGAGGAGCGAAAGCGUGGGGAGCAAACAGG